ACGAACGCUGGCGGCGUGCUUCACACAUGCAAGUCGCACGGAAAGGCCCUGCUUGCAGGGUACUCGAGUGGCGAACGGGUGAGUAACACGUGGGUGAUCUGCCCUGCACUUCGGGAUAAGCCUGGGAAACUGGGUCUAAUACCGGAUAGGAGCCAUUUUUAGUGUGAUGGUUGGAAAGUUUUUUCGGUGUAGGAUGAGCUCGCGGCCUAUCAGCUUGUUGGUGGGGUAAUGGCCUACCAAGGCGGCGACGGGUAGCCGGCCUGAGAGGGUGGACGGCCACAUUGGGACUGAGAUACGGCCCAGACUCCUACGGGAGGCAGCAGUGGGGAAUAUUGCACAAUGGGCGCAAGCCUGAUGCAGCGACGCCGCGUGGGGGAUGACGGCCUUCGGGUUGUAAACUCCUUUCGCUAGGGACGAAGCUUUUUGUGACGGUACCUAGAUAAGAAGCACCGGCUAACUACGUG
rnacentral:rRNA from 1 species